rnacentral:rRNA from 1 species
AUUUUUCAUUCAAAAGCGGAGGAAAAGAAACCAACAGGGAUUCCCCUAGUAACGGCGAGUGAAGCGGGAACAGCUCAAAUUUGAAAUCUGGCCCUUGGGUCCGAGUUGUAAUUUGCAGAGGAUGCUUUUGGUGCGGUGCCUUCCGAGUUCCCUGGAACGGGACGCCUUAGAGGGUGAGAGCCCCGUACGGUUGGCCACCAAGCCUGUGUAAAGCUCCUUCGACGAGUCGAGUAGUUUGGGAAUGCUGCUCAAAAUGGGAGGUAUAUUUCUUCUAAAGCUAAAUACUGGCCAGAGACCGAUAGCGCACAAGUAGAGUGAUCGAAAGAUGAAAAGCACUUUGAAAAGAGGGUUAAAUAGCACGUGAAAUUGUUGAAAGGGAAGGAUUUAUGACCAGACUUUUUCUGGGGGGAUCAUCCGGUGUUCUCACCGGUGCACUUCCCCCAGUUGAGGCCAGCAUCGGUUUCUGCCGGGGGAUAAAAGCUUUGGGAAUGUGGCUCCUUCGGGAGUGUUAUAGCCCGUUGCAUAAUACCCUGGCGGGGACCGAGGUUCGCGCAUUGCAAGGAUGCUGGCGUAAUGGUUAUUAAUCACCCGUCUUGAAACACGGACCAAGGAGUCGAACAUUUGUGCGAGUGUUUGGGUGUUAAACCCUCACGCGUAAUGAAAGUGAACGGAGGUGAGAGCCUUUAGGGGUGCAUCAUCGACCGAUCCUGAUGUCUUCGGAUGGAUUUGAGUAAGAGCAUAACUGUUCGGACCCGAAAGAUGGUGAACUAUGCGUGGAUAGGGUGAAGCCAGAGGAAACUCUGGUGGAGGCUCGCAGCGGUUCUGACGUGCAAAUCGAUCGUCAAAUCUGCGCAUGGGGGGCGAAAGACUAAUCGAACCAUCUAGUAGUGUACCGCGGAA